rnacentral:rRNA from 1 species
AUACGGAGGAUCCGAGCGUUAUCCGGAUUUAUUGGGUUUAAAGGGUGCGCAGGCGGGAGAUUAAGUCGGCGGUGAAAUUUUGCAGCUCAACUGUAAAAGUGCCUUCGAAACUGGUUUCCUUGAGUGUAGAUGAAGUAGGCGGAAUUUGUGGUGUAGCGGUGAAAUGCAUAGAUAUCACGAGGAACUACGAUUGCGCAGGCAGCUUACUAAACUACUACUGACGCUCAGGCACGAAGGCGUGGGGAUCAAACAGGAUUAGAUACCCUGGUAGUCCACGCAGUAAACGAUGAUUACUAGCUGUUUGCGAUACAAUGUAAGCGGCUGAGCGAAAGCGUUAAGUAAUCCACCUGGGGAGUACGUUCGCAAGAAUGAAACUCAAAUGAAUUGACGGGG